AGGAGCUGAGCUCCAGACGGCUAAACUCCAGACAGCAGCACUCUCGGGAUCUCAGGAACUCGCAAGCUUCUCCACCAUGACAAGGUGCUGAUCCUCGGAGAGGGUGAUGUAAAGAAUACUAACUUGCAAAUCAAACAGGAGCACUGAAGUUGUAUAUCUAAAGUGAUCAGAUGAGGAUUCAAACAGGAUUUGUCCUAUAGCGAAGUUGAAGCCGUUAGCAGUGUAUACUCUGAAUGCCCACAAGAACAGAGGUGGGGUGUAGAGGUUUCGCUGACCGCUCGCAUUGCAGAACCUACUCUCUCUUUGGCACGAUGAGGAGCUGCAAAGAAAGAUCCACCAGGACUGUCACAGAGGCUGGAGAGUGAGCCUCAAGAUGGCCAUGGAUCAGGAGAUGUGGCUCAUGAGACACAAGCUGGUGCCUGAUCAACCAUGGCUGGACUGCCUGGGUGAGAGCGUCUGAUGUUGAACACCCAACGACCUUAAGUUACAUCACUGAUGAUGUGACCCAUUGCACCCUAGGGUGCACCUCAGCCUCAGAGUUGUAUAUGGUGACACAUAUGUACUUUGAUAUUAAAUUUACUUUGAAAUUUGAA